rnacentral:rRNA from 1 species
CCUGCCGACAACACUGGGAUAGUCUUUCGAAAGAAAGAUUAAUACCGGAUGGCAUAGUUUUCCCGCAUGGGAUAAUUAUUAAAGAAUUUCGGUUGUCGAUGGGGAUGCGUUCCAUUAGGCAGUUGGCGGGGUAACGGCCCACCAAACCUACGAUGGAUAGGGGUUCUGAGAGGAAGGUCCCCCACAUUGGAACUGAGACACGGUCCAAACUCCUACGGGAGGCAGCAGUGAGGAAUAUUGGUCAAUGGACGAGAGUCUGAACCAGCCAAGUAGCGUGAAGGAUGACUGCCCUAUGGGUUGUAAACUUCUUUUAUACGGGAAUAAAGUGAGCCACGUGUGGCUUUUUGUAUGUACCGUAUGAAUAAGGAUCGGCUAACUCCGUGCCAGCAGCCGCGGUAAUACGGAGGAUCCGAGCGUUAUCCGGAUUUAUUGGGUUUAAAGGGAGCGUAGGCGGGUUGUUAAGUCAGUUGUGAAAGUUUGCGGCUCAACCGUAAAAUUGCAGUUGAUACUGGCGACCUUGAGUGCAACAGAGGUAGGCGGAAUUCGUGGUGUAGCGGUGAAAUGCUUAGAUAUCACGAAGAACUCCGAUUGCGAAGGCAGCUUACUGGAUUGUAACUGACGCUGAUGCUCGAAAGUGUGGGUAUCAAACAGGAUUAGAUACCCUGGUAGUCCACACAGUAAACGAUGAAUACUCGCUGUUGGCGAUAUACGGUCAGCGGCCAAG